ACGUGUCACGUUCACUUUGAAAGGCGUGUCCAAACGCCAAUGAGAGAUGCAUUCGUGGGGACGCUCGGCUGUGUACCCCUGCAGCAGGUAGGCUUUUGACUCCCAGGCGCGAAAUAUUAAUCCUGUUGUGCCGGUUUACUGACGAAAGGCAUUUUAUUAGAUUGGCGUUCAUCACCGGAAGCCGGGAAAAUUAAAUCAGCGCGAUUAGUGAAGCGUGAACUGGUCGCUUGACUGGUUGUGUCUGAAGAUUUUGGAGUGCUCAACCAGAGCAUUGGAUGCAGUAUCAACUGGGGAGUCCACCACUCCCAGAAAACAGUGAGGAUAAAACCUCUAUGGAUGGCGAGCUAAAAGGAGCCUGAUAUUAGACUGGAAUCUACCAUCCUACCACCAGUGCGGCAGGACUAACCCCCCACACUCUACAACAACUCAUCCGGAGUCCUUUUUUUGUUUUUUUGUUUUUUUCUCUGUCAACUGGAGUACCCAGACUCUUUCCCAUCACAACUCUCUCUACGAACUGAUAGAAAAACAUCAUCAGGACUGAAGUGUUUUGUUCAUAUGUGUUGUAAAUUUUGAAUUCACUGUAUAUUGUAAAUACAUUUGCAUCAGCAACUCA